CACGUAGGAGGCGAGCGUUGUCCGGAAUCAUUGGGCGUAAAGAGCGCGCAGGCGGCUUGACAAGUCGGGUGUGAAAUCCCGGGGCUCAACCCCGGGACUGCAUUCGAUACUGUCAGGCUAGAGGUAGGUAGGGGAGAUCGGAAUUCCUGGUGUAGCGGUGAAAUGCGCAGAUAUCAGGAGGAACACCGGUGGCGAAGGCGGAUCUCUGGGCCUUACCUGACGCUCAGGCGCGAAAGCGUGGGGAGCAAACAGG
rnacentral:rRNA from 1 species